rnacentral:rRNA from 1 species
CCUACGGGUGGCAGCAGUGAGGAAUAUUGGUCAAUGGGCGCGAGCCUGAACCAGCCAAGUCGCGUGAGGGAAGACGGCCCUACGGGUUGUAAACCUCUUUUGCCGGGGAGCAACAGGCGCCACGUGUGGCGCCACUGAGAGUACCCGGAGAAAAAGCAUCGCCUAACUCCGUGCCAGAAGCGUCGGUAGUACGGGGGAUGGGAGCGUAAUCCGGAUUUUUUGGGUUUAAAGGGUGCGUAGGCGGAGCGGUAAGUCAUUGGUCAAAUUUGGGGGCUAAACCCCUUACCGCCAUUGAAACUGGCGCUCUUGAGUAGAAGAGAGGUAGGCGGAAUGCGUGGUGUAGCGGUGAAAUGCAUAGAUAUCACGCAGAACCCCGAUUGCGAAGGCAGCAUGCCGGCUUCCUACUGACGCUGAAGCACGAAAGCGUGGGGAUCGAACAGGAUUAGAUACCCCUGUAGUC